rnacentral:rRNA from 1 species
AUGGGUUCCCGGCGGAAUUUUAUAAAAGAUGUUGGCAUAUCAUCAAGGGUGAUCUUAUGCCCAUGUUCCAUGAUUUUUUUCAAUGGCCAUAUGCAACUAUUUCAUCUUAACUUUGGAACGAUUACGUUGUUGCCAAAGAAAGAGGACGCAGUUCAUAUUGAGCAGUUCGGGCCAAUUUACCUUCUGAAUGUGAGUUUCAUUUUUUUUACUAAAGUAGGCACAAACAGACUGACAUGGAUUGCACAUUCAAUGGUUCAACCGAGUCAGACUACCUUCUUGCCUAGGAGACAUAUCCUAGAAAUGGUAGGUGUCCUACAUGAAACUCUUCAUGAAAUCCGUUCAAAGAAACUUGAUGGGGUAAUCUUCAAGGUGGAUUUCGAGAAGGCGUAUGAUAAAGUCAAAUGGCCAUUUCUCCAGCAAGUCAUGCGAAUGAAGGGGUUCAACAAAAUCUGGAGGAAGCAGGUGGAUUCCUUUAUUCAAAAAGGCAGC